UACGUAGGGUGCGAGCGUUAAUCGGAAUUACUGGGCGUAAAGAGUGCGUAGGCGGUUCGUUAAGUUCGUUGUGAAAGCCCCGGGCUCAACCUGGGAACUGCAAUGGAAACUGGCGGGCUUGAGUGUGGCAGAGGGGGGUGGAAUUCCGCGUGUAGCAGUGAAAUGCGUAGAGAUGCGGAGGAACACCGAUGGCGAAGGCAGCCCCCUGGGCCAACACUGACGCUCAGGCACGAAAGCGUGGGGAGCAAACAGG
rnacentral:rRNA from 1 species